rnacentral:lncRNA from 1 species
CCCCCCCUGCCCUCCUCCACCGCCCCUCAGGGGUCCCGCCAGCCCCCAGGUUCCACCGCCCCUCAGGGGUCCCGCCAGCCCCCAGGUUCCACCGCCCCUCAGGGGCCCGCCCCUCAGCGCUCCGCCGCUCGCCGCUGGCAGCGAGGGGCCCGGGGGUCUGCGGGCAGCGCCUCCGAGCCCGAGCCGCGUCCCAGGGGCCCACAGGGAGCCGCCCUGUCCUGCCUUGUGUGUGAGAGCUAAGGUUUUGGACGUGGCGAGUUCGGCCUUGGUGCAAGAUGCUGACCGCGAUACCCAGGUGCUCUGUGGUGUUUCGGGACGUAGAAGGAGAUGCCACUCUAUAAGGAAGAGACUGAAUCUUGGGCAGUCAUGA